ensembl:lncRNA
AUGCUGCUUCAUAUCUUUAUCUCCCUCCUUGCCUUUCUCCAGGAAUGUAUGAAGCUUAGGACAAGUUCAUAUAAGGACAAGUAUGAUUUCAAUCACAUACAUGAAACCACAGAUUUACCAGAUGUCAUCCCACUGUUCCUGGGUCAGUGUGAUAAUGGGAGUGAUGGGGAAAGGCAAGGUGUGUUUGGGGACCUUCCCACCCACUGGAAACCGGAGGAGUAGAGAGGUAAGCAUUCUCGUCUGGUAGUAGCUUGUGGCACCCUUUCCUCUGACUAGAAAGGCAGCAGAUGGUUAGGCUGAAGCAUAUGACAUUGCCGCUUUUGUUGGUUCAAAAUAGUUGAAUAACCUCUGAUUCCAGCAAUGAGAUUUCCCUCUGGGAACGUGCUACAGUCUUUUUACAUCGCCUUAUGAAACUAUUGUUUACCAACUCAGAGUUGACCUGAUUUGGAGAUAGAGGGUCCUUACCAAAAAAAGGACCAAGACGGGCAAUUAUGUAAGGGGGACAAAUAGAAUGGAAGAUAGAGGAGAUUAAAAUGAAGAGAAGAAAUGGGAAAGCGGCAGAGAAGUUGUGGCAAAUUAUAUUUUCUAAAAAAGAUCACAAAGCUAUUUCUGGCCCCAAGUGUUCUUCUUCAAUGUCACCACCUUCCAUCAAGAGCUUAUAUUCCUUAAGUUUAGGUGGGGCUUUGUGGCUGUCUUGACAAAAUCAACAUGGACAUCACUUCCAAGGCCAGACCAUCAGGGGUGAUACAUCUUCCUCUUGGAUGAGAUACAUGACUGUCUCUUGGGAUACUCGUCCCUGGAACCCAGCUGCCAUACUGUGGGAAAGCCCAGGCCAUGUGGAGAGGUGGCAUGUAGGUGUUCCAGCCAACAGCCAGCAUCAAACUGCCAAACACGUGAGCAAGCCUUCAACUGAUUCUAGCCCCUAGCCUUGAAGCUACUCUAGCUGAUGCCAAGUGGAGCAGAGACAAGCUGUCCUCAUCAAGCACUGCCCAAAUUUUAGACUUGUGUGCAAAAUAUUUUCAUUCUUUUAAGUCACUAAGUGGUUUGUUACACAGCAGUAAGAUAAUUGGACCAGAGACUUUCCCCUCAAAUUUCAGAAGCCUGUAGAACUAAGCGAAAACAAUCAGCAGUAGAAUGUACUUUUUGAAAAGGGUCUAUUUUGUCACAUUUACCUGAGUAACAAGUUAUAAUAAACCUGGAACCUUUGGAGACA